CUCACCCCAGCUCCUUUCUCCAGCAGCCUCUGAACUGCAGUGGGUAAUUUUUUCUGGGUUUCAGUUAAUAAAGGAUUUGCAGGCAUAGAGUCAGUAAAUUCCAUGAGAAAACAGUCCAAGACUCUUUUCUACAUCCAGAAGUGGGCAUCAAGCAAUGAUAUUUGGAUGAAUAACAAUGAGUGGAUGAGUACACUGGAGAAUGGGAAAGCCAACCUUGAGAAAUGCCUCUUGGGACCUUCGCAUUUGGCUAUUUACAGAGCACAUGUGAUGACAAACAGGUUCAUCUAGAAAACUUGAAGUUGCC